rnacentral:rRNA from 1 species
UACGUAGGUGGCAAGCGUUGUCCGGAUUUACUGGGCGUAAAGAGCGCGCAGGCGGUCGUGCAAGUCGCGUGUGAAAGCCCCCCGGCUCAACUGGGGAGGGUCACGCGAUACUGCUCGACUCGAAGGCAGGAGAGGGAAGUGGAAUUCCUGGUGUAGCGGUGAAAUGCGCAGAUAUCAGGAAGAACACCCGUGGCUAAGGCGGCUCUCUAGUACGGUACUGACGCUGAGACGCGAAAGCGUGGGGAGCGAACAGG